rnacentral:rRNA from 1 species
UGUGUAACACGUAUCCAACCUGCCGUCUACUCUUGGACAGCCUUCUGAAAGGAAGAUUAAUACAAGAUGGCAUCAUGAGUCCGCAUGUUCACAUGAUUAAAGGUAUUCCGGUAGACGAUGGGGAUGCGUUCCAUUAGAUAGUAGGCGGGGUAACGGCCCACCUAGUCUUCGAUGGAUAGGGGUUCUGAGAGGAAGGUCCCCCACAUUGGAACUGAGACACGGUCCAA